rnacentral:lncRNA from 1 species
AUGACCCUUCAGCAAUACGUGAACCGUGAACUUCCUGAUGUUCAAGCUGGUUUUAGAAAAGGCAGAGGAACCAGAGAUCAAAUUGCCAACAUCUGGGUCAUUGAAAAAGCAAGAGAGUUCCAGGAAAACAUCUGCUUCUGCUUUAUUGACUAUGCCAAAGCCUUUGACUGUGUGGAUCACAAUACACUGUGGAAAAUUCUAAAAGAGAUGGGAAUACCAGAACACCUGACCUGCCUCUUGAGAAACCUAUAUGCAACUCAGGAAGCAACAGUUAGAACUGGACAUGGAACAACAGACUGGUUCCAAAUAGGAAAAGGAGUAUGUCAAGGCUGUAUAUUGUCACCCUGCUUAUUUAACUUCUAUGCAGAGUACAUCAUGAGAAACGCUGCGCUGGAGGAAGCACAAGCUGGAAUCAAGAUUGCCCAGAGAAAUAUCAAUAACCUCAGAUAUGCAGAUGACACCACCCUUAUGGCAGAAAGUGAAGAGGAACUAAAAAGCCUCUUGAUGAAAGUGAAAGAGGAGAGUGAAAAUGUUGGCUUAAAGCUCAACAUUCAGAAAACGAAGAUCACGGAAUCUGGUCCCAUCACUUCAUGGCAAAUAGAUGGGGAAACAGUGGAAACAGUGUCAGACUUUAUUUUUGGGGGCUCCAAAAUGACUGCAGAAGGUGAUUGCAGCCAUGAAAUUAAAAGACACUUACUCCUUGGAAGAAAAGUUAUGACCAACCUAGAUAGCAUAUUAAAAAGCAGAGCUAUUACUUUGCCAACAAAAGUCCAUCUAGUCAAGGCUAUGGUUUUUCCAGUGGUCAUGUAUGGGUGUGAGAGUUGGACUGUGAAGAAGGCUGAGCACCGAAGAAUUGAUGCUUUUGAACUGUGGUGUUGGAGAAGACUCUUGAGAGUCCCAUGGACUGCAAGGAGAUCCAACCAGUCCAUUCUAAAGGAGAUCAGUCCUGGGUGUUCUUCAGAAGGAAUGAUGCUAAAGCUGAUACUCCAGUACUUUGGCCACCUCAUGUGA